UACAGAGGGGGCAAGCGUUGUUCGGAAUCACUGGGCUUAAAGGGCGCGUAGGCGGGCCAGCCAGUCUGUGGUGAAAGCCUCCAGCUUAACUGGAGAAGUGCCGUGGAUACUGCUGGCCUCGAGGAGGGUAGGGGCAUCUGGAACGGUCGGUGGAGCGGUGAAAUGCGUUGAUAUCGACCGGAACUCCGGUGGCGAAGGCGAGGUGCUGGGCCCUUUCUGACGCUGAGUGCGCGAAAGCCAGGGGAGCAAACGGG
rnacentral:rRNA from 1 species